rnacentral:rRNA from 1 species
GAUGAACGCUGGCGGCGUGCCUAAUACAUGCAAGUCGAGCGAACAGAUGAGGAGCUUGCUCCUCUGACGUUAGCGGCGGACGGGUGAGUAACACGUGGAUAACCUACCUAUAAGACUGGGAUAACUUCGGGAAACCGGAGCUAAUACCGGAUAAUAUAUUGAACCGCAUGGUUCAAUAGUGAAAUACGGUUUUGCUGUCACUUAUAGAUGGAUCCGCGCCGCAUUAGCUAGUUGGUAAGGUAACGGCUUACCAAGGCAACGAUGCGUAGCCGACCUGAGAGGGUGAUCGGCCACACUGGAACUGAGACACGGUCAAGACUCCUACGGGAGGCAGCAGUAGGGAAUCUUCCGCAAUGGGCGAAAGCCUGACGGAGCAACGCCGCGUGAGUGAUGAAGGUCUUCGGAGCGUAAAACUCUGUUAUUAGGGAAGAACAAAUGUGUAAGUAACUAUGCACGUCUUGACGGUACCUAAUCAGAAAGCCACGGCUAACUACGUG